GACGAACGCUGGCGGCGUGCCUAAUACAUGCAAGUAGAACGCACAGUUUAUACCGUAGCUUGCUACACCAUAGACUGUGAGUUGCGAACGGGUGAGUAACGCGUAGGUAACCUGCCUGGUAGCGGGGGAUAACUAUUGGAAACGAUAGCUAAUACCGCAUAAUAUUAAUUAUUGCAUGAUAAUUAAUUGAAAGGUGCAAUUGCACCACUACCAGAUGGACCUGCGUUGUAUUAGCUAGUAGGUGAGGUAACGGCUCACCUAGGCGACGAUACAUAGCCGACCUUGAGGGGGGAUCGGGCACACUGGGACUGAGACACGGCCCAGACUCCCACGGGAGGCAGCAGUAGGGAAUCUUCGGCAAAGGACGAAAGUCUGACCGAGCAACGCCGCGGGAGUGAAGAAGGUUUUCGGAUCGUAAAGAUCUUGUGUAAGAGAAGAAAGGGUGUGAGAGUGGAAAGUUCACACUGUGACGGUAUCUUACCAGAAAGGGACGGCUAACUACGUG
rnacentral:rRNA from 1 species